rnacentral:piRNA from 1 species
GAGCAUGAUGGGGAGUGGGGAGGUG